rnacentral:rRNA from 1 species
CCCUUAGAUGUUCUGGGCCGCACGCGCGCUACACUGAUGCAUUCAACGAGUCUAAAACCUGCUCUGAUAGGGGUGGGUAAUCUUUUGAAUGUGCAUCGUGAUUGGGAUAGAUGAUUGCAAUUUUUCAUCUUCAACGAGGAAUGCCUAGUAAACGCAAGUCAUCAGCUUGCAUUGAUUACGUCCCUGCCCUUUGUACACACCGCCCGUCGCUCCUACCGAUUGAAUGAUACGAUGAAUAUCAUGGAUUGAGGAUGCAAGUAGGUUAGCCUAUCUUCAUCUUCGAGAAGUGAAGUAAAUCUUAUCAUUUAGAGGAAGGAGAAGUCGUAACA